rnacentral:rRNA from 1 species
UACGUAGGGGGCAAGCGUUGUCCGGAUUUACUGGGCGUAAAGAGCGCGUAGGCGGAAGAUUAAGCGUGGCCUGAAAGCCCCCGGCUCAACCGGGGAGGGCGGCUGCGAACUGGUCUUCUUGAGGUCGAUAGAGGAGAGCGGAAUUCCUGGUGUAGCGGUGAAAUGCGUAGAUAUCAGGAGGAACACCCGUGGCGAAGGCGGCUCUCUGGGUCGGACCUGACGCUGAGGCGCGAAAGCGUGGGGAGCGAACGGG